rnacentral:rRNA from 1 species
UAUUGUACUACGGUGACUAUAACGGGUGACGGAGAGUUAGGGCUCGACUCCGGAGAGGGAGCCUGAGAGACGGCUACCAUAUCCAAGGAUAGCAGCAGGCGCGUAAAUUACCCACUGUGGACUCCACGAGGUAGUGACGAGAAAUAUCGAUGCGAAGCGUGUAUGCGUUUUGCUAUCGGAAUGAGAGCAAUGUAAAACCCUCAUCGAGGAUCAACUGGAGGGCAAGUCUGGUGCCAGCAGCCGCGGUAAUUCCAGCUCCAGAAGCAUAUGCUAAAGUUGUUGCAGUUAAAAAGCUCGUAGUUGAAUUUCUGGCAUGGGCGACCGGUGCUUUCCCUGAAUGGGGAUUGAUUGUCUGUGUUGCCUUGGCCAUCUUUCUCAUGCUGUUAUUGGUAAGAAAUCUUUCACUGUAAUCAAAGCAGAGUGUUCCAAGCAGGUCGUAUGACCGGUAUGUUUAUUAUGGGAUGAUAAGAUAGGACUUGGGUGCUAUUUUGUUGGUUUGCACGCCUGAGUAAUGGUUAAUAGGAACAGUUGGGGGUAUUCGUAUUUAGGAGCUAGAGGUGAAAUUCUUGGAUUUCCGAAAGACGAACUAGAGCGAAGGCAUUUACCAAGCAUGUUUUCAUUAAUCAAGAACGAAAGUCUGGGGAUCGAA